rnacentral:rRNA from 1 species
GACCCCAUAGAUAUGCUAUCUGGUGGUACCGGGGCUUAAGUUUACCACCGAAGCUACGGAUUGUACGCAAGUACAGUGGUAGGGGAGCGUUCCAAGGGUGAUGAAGUCAGACCGUAAGGACUGGUGGAGCGCUUGGAAGUGAUUAUGCCGGCAUGAGUAACGUUUGGAAGUGAGAAUCUUCCAUGCCGUUUGACCAAGGUUUCCUGGGCAAGGUUCGUCCACCCAGGGUUAGUCAGGACCUAAGGCGAGGCCGACAGGCGUAGUCGAUGGACAACAGGUUGAUAUUCCUGUACCAGUUAAUUAGUGAUGGAGU